UACGGGGGGAGCAAGCGUUGUUCGGAUUUACUGGGCGUAAAGGGCGCGUAGGCGGCCACUGCAAGUCAGUUGUGAAAUCGUCCGGGCUUAACCCGGAAAGGUCAACUGAUACUGCAGGGCCAGAGUGCAGAAGGGGCAACUGGAAUUCUCGGUGUAGCGGUGAAAUGCGUAGAUAUCAGGAGGAACACCGGUGGUGUAGACGGCUUUCUGGACCGUAACUGACGCUGAGACACGAAAGCGUGGGUAGCAAACAGG
rnacentral:rRNA from 1 species